AGCGUAGGCGGCAGUGCAAGUCGGGAGUGAAAACUUGGGGCUCAACCCCAAGACUGCUCUCGAAACUGUGCAGCUAGAGUGCAGGAGGGGCAGGCGGAAUUCCUGGUGUAGCGGUGAAAUGCGUAGAUAUCAGGAGGAACACCGGUGGCGAAGGCGGCCUGCUGGACUGUAACUGACGCUAAGGCUCGAAAGCGUGGGGAGCGAACA
rnacentral:rRNA from 1 species